rnacentral:rRNA from 1 species
GACGGAGGGGGCGAGCGUUGUCCGGAAUUACUGGGCGUAAAGGGCGCGUAGGCGGUUUCGAACGGCGAUGGUGAAAGCUCCCGGCUCAACCGGGAGAGGCCCGUCGCGACGGCGAGACUCGAGGCGAGUAGAGGCAGACGGAAUUCCUGGUGUAGCGGUGAAAUGCGUAGAGAUCAGGAGGAACACCCGUGGCGAAGGCGGUCUGCUGGGCUUGGCCUGACGCUGAGGCGCGACAGCAAGGGGAGCGAACGGG